rnacentral:rRNA from 1 species
CCUACGGGAGGCAGCAGUAGGGAAUCUUCCACAAUGGGCGAAAGCCUGAUGGAGCAACGCCGCGUGGGUGAAGAAGGUCUUCGGAUCGUAAAACCCUGUUGUUAGAGAAGAAAGUGCGUGAGAGUAACUGUUCACGUUUCGACGGUAUCUAACCAGAAAGCCACGGCUAACUACGUGCCAGCAGCCGCGGUAAUACGUAGGUGGCAAGCGUUAUCCGGAUUUAUUGGGCGUAAAGCGAGCGCAGGCGGUUGCUUAGGUCUGAUGUGAAAGCCUUCGGCUUAACCGAAGAAGUGCA